UGCAUACUUUGUAUGCGCGGUAGAGGAGCGUUCCGUAAGCCGUUGAAGGUGGAUUGAGAAGUCUGCUGGAGGUAUCGGAAGUGCGAAUGCUGACAUGAGUAACGAUAAUGCGGGUGAAAAACCCGCACGCCGAAAGCCCAAGGUUUCCUUGCGCAACGUUAAUCGGCGCAGGGUGAGUCGGCCCCUAAGGCGAGGACGAAAGUCGUAGUCGAUGGGAAGCAGGUUAAUAUUCCUGCACCUCGCGUAAGUGCGAUGGAGGGACGGAGAAGGUUAGGUGUACCAGGCGUUGGUUGUCCUGGGGAAAGGCGGUAGGUUUGGAUCUUUGGCAAAUCCGGGAUCCUUUAAGACCGAGCACCGAGACGAGCCUUUAAGGCGAAGUCACUGAUACCACGCUUCCAGGAAAAGCUCCUAAGCUUCAGCUUACGCAGACCGUACCGUAAACCGACACAGGUGGGUAGGAUGAGAAUUCUCAGGCGCUUG
rnacentral:rRNA from 1 species